UCAAGCGAACAAGUGCAUGUGGUGGAUGCCUUGGCGAUCACAGGCGAUGAAGGACGCGGUAGCCUGCGAAAAGCGGGGGGGAGCUGGCAAACGAGCUUUGAUCCCCCGAUAUCCGAAUGGGGAAACCCACUCCUUAUGGAGUAUCCGUAACUGAAUACAUAGGUUACGUGAAGCGAACGCGGUGAACUGAAACAUCUAAGUAACCGCAGGAAAAGAAAUCAACCGAGAUUCCCAGAGUAGUGGCGAGCGAAAUGGGACCAGCCUGUACUCUUUAUCUUCAUUGUUAGUCGAAGGCUCUGGAAAGUGCCGCCAUAGCAGGUGAUAGCCCUGUAGACGAAAACAGCGAGGAAGAACUGGGUGUACGACAAGUAGGGCGGGACACGUGAAAUCCUGUCUGAAGAUGGGGGGACCAUCCUCCAAGGCUAAAUACUCGUGAUCGACCGAUAGUGAACCAGUACCGUGAGGGAAAGGCGAAAAGAACCCCGGGAGGGGAGUGAAAUAGAUCCUGAAACCGCAUGCAUACAAACAGUCGGAGCCUCUGCGAAGGGGUGACGGCGUACCUUUUGUAUAAUGGGUCAGCGACUUACAUUCAGUGGCAAGCUUAACCGAUUAGGGCAGGCGUAGCGAAAGCGAGUCCGAACAGGGCGUUCAGUCGCUGGGUGUAGACCCGAAACCAGGUGAUCUAUCCAUGGCCAGGAUGAAGGUGCGGUAACACGUACUGGAGGUCCGAACCCACUAACGUUGAAAAGUUAGGGGAUGAGCUGUGGAUAGGGGUGAAAGGCUAAACAAACCUGGAAAUAGCUGGUUCUCUCCGAAAACUAUUUAGGUAGUGCCUCGUGUAUCACCUUCGGGGGUAGAGCACUGUCAUGGUUGUGGGGUCCAUUGCGGAUUACUACGCCAUAGCAAACUCCGAAUACCGAAGAGUGCAAUCACGGGAGACAGACAUCGGGUGCUAACGUCCGGUGUCAAGAGGGAAACAACCCAGACCGCCAGCUAAGGUCCCCAAAUAUUGCUAAGUGGGAAACGAAGUGGGAAGGCUAAAACAGUCAGGAGGUUGGCUUAGAAGCAGCCAUCCUUUAAAGAAAGCGUAAUAGCUCACUGAUCGAGUCGUCCUGCGCGGAAGAUGUAACGGGGCUAAGCAAUAUACCGAAGCUGCGGAUGCAUAUUUAUAUGCAUGGUAGGAGAGCGUUCCGUAAGCCUGCGAAGGUGCAUUGAAAAGUGCGCUGGAGGUAUCGGAAGUGCGAAUGCUGACAUGAGUAGCGAUAAAGGGGGUGAAAGGCCCCCUCGCCGUAAGCCCAAGGUUUCCUACGCAACGUUCAUCGGCGUAGGGUGAGUCGGCCCCUAAGGCGAGGCAGAAAUGCGUAGCUGAUGGGAAGCAGGUUAAUAUUCCUGCACCAUUGUUAAAUGCGAUGGGGGGACGGAUCGCGGAAGGUUGUCCGGGUGUUGGAAGUCCCGGUCCUUGCAUUGGAGAAGGCGCUUAGGCAAAUCCGGGCGCGGAAUUCAAGGGUGCGAGGCCAUUCACUUCGGUGAAGAAGCAACUGGAAGUGGUUCCAAGAAAAGCCUCUAAGCUUCAGUUUAACAAGACCGUACCGCAAACCGACACAGGUGGGCGAGAUGAGUAUUCUAAGGCGCUUGAGAGAACUCGGGAGAAGGAACUCGGCAAAUUGGUACCGUAACUUCGGGAUAAGGUACGCCCCUGUAGCUUGACUGGCCUGCGCCAGGAGGGUGAAGGGGUUGCAAUAAACUGGUGGCUGCGACUGUUUAAUAAAAACACAGCACUCUGCAAACACGAAAGUGGACGUAUAGGGUGUGACGCCUGCCCGGUGCCGGAAGAUUAAAUGAUGGGGUGCAAGCUCUUGAUUGAAGUCCCGGUAAACGGCGGCCGUAACUAUAACGGUCCUAAGGUAGCGAAAUUCCUUGUCGGGUAAGUUCCGACCUGCACGAAUGGCGUAACGAUGGCCACACUGUCUCCUCCCGAGACUCAGCGAAGUUGAAGUGUUUGUGAUGAUGCAAUCUCCCCGCGGCUAGACGGAAAGACCCCAUGAACCUUUACUGUAGCUUUGCAUUGGACUUUGAACCGAUCUGUGUAGGAUAGGUGGGAGGCUAUGAAGCGUGGACGCCAGUCUGCGUGGAGCCGUCCUUGAAAUACCACCCUGGUUUGUUUGAGGUUCUAACCUUGGUCCGUUAUCCGGACUGGGGACAGUGCAUGGUAGGCAGUUUGACUGGGGCGGUCUCCUCCCAAAGUGUAACGGAGGAGUACGAAGGUACGCUAGGUACGGUCGGAAAUCGUGCUGAUAGUGCAAUGGCAUAAGCGUGCUUAACUGCGAGACCGACAAGUCGAGCAGGUGCGAAAGCAGGUCAUAGUGAUCCGGUGGUUCUGUAUGGAAGGGCCAUCGCUCAACGGAUAAAAGGUACUCUGGGGAUAACAGGCUGAUACCGCCCAAGAGUUCAUAUCGACGGCGGUGUUUGGCACCUCGAUGUCGGCUCAUCUCAUCCUGGGGCUGUAGCCGGUCCCAAGGGUAUGGCUGUUCGCCAUUUAAAGAGGUACGUGAGCUGGGUUUAAAACGUCGUGAGACAGUUUGGUCCCUAUCUGCCGUGGGCGCUGGAUAUUUGAAGGGGGCUGCUCCUAGUACGAGAGGACCGGAGUGGACGAACCUCUGGUGUACCGGUUGUCACGCCAGUGGCAUCGCCGGGUAGCUAUGUUCGGAAGAGAUAACCGCUGAAAGCAUCUAAGCGGGAAACUCGCCUUAAGAUGAGAUAUCCCCGGGGCUUCGAGCCCCUUGAAGGGUCGUUCAAGACCAGGACGUUGAUAGGUCAGGUGUGGAAGCGCAGUAAUGCGUUAAGCUAACUGAUACUAAUUGCCCGUAAGGCUUGAUCC
rnacentral:rRNA from 1 species